rnacentral:rRNA from 1 species
UACGAAGGGGGCUAGCGUUGCUCGGAAUCACUGGGCGUAAAGCGCACGUAGGCGGAUCGAUCAGUCAGGGGUGAAAUCCCAGGGCUCAACCCUGGAACUGCCUUUGAUACUGUCGAUCUGGAGUAUGGAAGAGGUGAGUGGAAUUCCGAGUGUAGAGGUGAAAAUUCGUAGAUAUUCGGAGGAACACCAGUGGCGAAGGCGGCUCACUGGUCCAUUACUGACGCUGAGGUGCGAAAGCGUGGGGAGCAAACAGG